rnacentral:miRNA from 1 species
AGGUCCCAGCUCUACUCCUCAU